CUUUAAUAUGUUUGUUACACCUUCCACCACGGCUCAUUACAGGUCAAGAUGUUUGUGAUUCAUUAGUUAGCACGUGCAGUCGCUCGUGACAGAUUGCAGCACAUCGCAGCGAGGAAGCACACCUCUAACAGGAGACAGGAAGCCUGCUCGGAGUUCUGGACCUGUUCUGAUGAGCUGAUGUGCCUCCAGGAUGCUCAGCAGCAAACCUCCGACAUCUCCAGCUCCACAUCUGUGACUCAAGUGGCCCAUGAACAGUGUCUGUGCAGUACGGAGGCACAUUCAACUCAUUCAGGCUGUUGAACACAUCUGGAAUAUGAACUAAGCAGGACGACCAGAGCCGGCGCUCACGUUUGCUGCCGCAGGCUCAGUGAAGACGCUCCGCUUGUUAAAUGUUUCAGUGAGCGUCGGACCUGAAGAAGAGACACGACGGAGACACGAUGCACACGAGUGUAAUGUAGCUGUACGAGGUUCAGGCUCUGUUCACAGGUUGUUCGGUUAGUUUUAAUCAUGAAUCUCCUCGAUUAGAUCUGGGAAAAUAUAAUAAACAAGUAAAAAUGUUACAAAUGUGA